AUGUUAUUUUGUGAUCUACCUAUGGAUUCUUUGUUUACGUCACAAUUCCGCUGAUUUUCAAGAUUUAUCCAAAAAUCGUCUUUGAAGGAUUAUUUCUCAACAGAGUCUGCCCACCUGUAUGGUUACUGAAGCUGAACAAACCAGACAAAGCCUACAAUCUUAAAGAGAGCAAGAACUGCUAUGUGAGGUCUUCGAGUGGAAGUACUUUAGGCGUUUGGCAUAUUCCGCCAGUCACUCAGUACGAUACUCCAGAGGUCAAAUCAGGGUCAUUACAAGACGCUGAGAAAAUCAUCAUUUAUUGCCAUGGCAACUCGUUUCAUCGUGGUUUCAAGCAUCGAAGAGAUUUAUAUUCAGAGCUGCAGAAAUCAGGAUUCCACAUCAUAGCUUUUGACUACAGUGGAUUUGCGGACUCUACCGGUCAGCCGAGUCCAACAAGAGUCGUGGAAGAUGCAAUUAGCGUGUAUAAGUGGACGGUCAAGCAGCUCCAGAAAGAAGAUGUGACAAUCGUGCUUUGGGGUCAUUCACUCGGCACUUACAUCAGCACGAGGGCGCUAUCGCUCAUGUACGACCAGAAAGAUGGCACUCGACUCCCUGACUGUCUGAUACUUUAAGCUCCGUUCACGAAUACAUAUGAUGCCGCAGACUGCUUCCCACUAUCUAAGUAUUUCUAUCGGCUCUAUCCCUUCAUGAGGUCUCAGGUUCACAAGAAUAUCAAACAAUAUGACAUUGAGCUCAGGACUGAGAAGUAUCUGCCGACAAUAAAGGCUCCUGUUAUGAUUUUACAUGCUAAAGAUGAUCAGAGAAUCGACAUUCAUCUCGGUGAGACUCUGUACGAAAAGACGACCUCUGACCCCAUGACAAAAUCUCCUCACAUUCGUCGAAUGCACAAGGAUUACGGAGUGAAACACUACACUGCUAAGAACCCUGAGAUAAGGCAGUUAGUGCAUGAUUUCAUGGCUGAGGUAGCAAAGGUCAAAGGUGAUCAGGAACAAGGAACUCCAGAAAGAAGAUGUGACAAUCGUGCUCUGGGGUCAUUCACCUGGCACUUACAUCAGCACGAGGGCGCUAUCGCUUAUGUAUGACCAGGAAGAUGGCACUCGACUCCCCGACUGUCUGAUACUUGAAGCUUCGUUCACGAAUACAUACGAUGCCGCUGACUGCUUUCCAGUGACUAAGUAUUUCUUUCUGCUCUAUCCCUUCAUGAGGUCUCAAGUUCACAAGAAUAUCAAACAAUAUGACAUUGCGAGCUCAGGACUGAGAAGUAUCUGCCGACAAUAAAGGCUCCUGUUAUGAUUUUACAUGCUAAAGAUGAUCAGAGAAUAGACAUUCGUCUCGGUGAGACUUUGUACAAGAAGACGACCUUUGACCCCACGACAAAAUCUCCUUUCAUUCGAAUGCACGAGGAUUACGGAGUGAAGCACUGGAUUUAAGUUAAUAAAGUUUGAAUGUUUGCAGUGCUGUAGAACAUUUCUUCACCCAUUUAACGAUUUAUUACCAAAAUUUUAAGAGAUGAUAGAUGCCGCUA